rnacentral:lncRNA from 1 species
GCAAAGGAGAGGGCUUUCAGCAGGGGCAUACCACGACCUGAGUCGUAGUUCAUAAAGAUCAUGCUGGCUACUGCACUAGAAUAAGUAGACUGCACAAAUCACGCUGUUAGACUAAGGGAGCAGGAGUGGAAGCAGAGGGACAGUGGUCCAGGUGAGAGAUGAUAAUGGAUUUGACUGAGGUGAUAGCGUGGGGGUGGUGACAAGUGGUUGAAUUCACCAUACAUUUGGAAGGUAGAGCUGAUAGGACCUACCUGAUGGAUAAGAUGUGGAGUGUGAAGGGAUGACUCCCGGUUUUUGUCCUAAACAGCUGGACAAAUGGUUGUUUGCCAUGGUGGUGCCGUUUGCUCAGGAGGGGAAGACCCGGGGAGGAGUGAGUGUGUGGGGGAAUCAAGAGUUCUGUUGGAGACAUUACAAUGUUGAGAUGCACGCUACACAUCCAAAUGGACCUGCUGAGGGGGCGGUAGAGUUCAGGGGAGAAGUCCUAUCGGGAUAUUCGGAAGUCAUCAGCAUCCAGAUGGCAUUUAAAGGGAUGGAGUGGGUGAUACCACCCAGGAGCAGUGGGGAGAGAAGAGUUGAGCUUAAUAGAACAAGCAGCACAUCCUCACGUUAUUCUCUAAAGGAGUCGCUCUCAAACUUUAGUGCAUAUGGGAUUCAUCUGCAACUUGAUCACCUGUAACUUGUUUACUAAGCAGGUCCCUGGCAACUGGCAUUCAGAAAUUCUGGGCCUUGAGAAGCUUAGGAAGACAAGCUCCCCCAGGUGAUUCUGCUACAGGAGGACAAAGGGAGAAGAGGGCCAUUUGCAAGCCAGGAAGAGAUCCCUCAUCAAGAACUCAAUCCUCUGGUGCCUUGAUCUUGGACUCCCCAGCCUCCAGAACUGUGAGAAACAAAUGUCUGCUGUUUAUGCCACCCAGUCCACGGUAUUCUAUUAUGGCGGCCCAAGCUGACGAGGACAGCCUCAUACUCAGUUUCUCUGCUUCUCACCUCCCUCCUUUGCGUGGAAUGUUAGUUUCUUUCAUGGCACUUAUCACUGACUGUUAUAAUAUAGUUGUUAGCCUGUUUAUCAGCUUGAUGUUCAUCUUCAUAACCAGAUGGCCCCCUCCAUGAAGCCGUGCCUCUUUUGGUCACCCCUCUGGACCCAGGGCUGAGUGCCAUGCCUGGCACAUUGUAGGUGCUUAAUAGUAUGCUUCUUGAAGAAAUGAAAUGCUGACUACAAUACACGCCUCCAACCAGUCUCCCUGCAUCCCGUCUUGUCCCUUCUGACUCAUGCCUUACCCUUUGGCCAAGGUUAUCUUUAUAAAACAUUAAUUUCAC